UUGCCAUGAUGAUUUCCAUUGGGUUUCGCAUGUUGCUGACUAUCAGUGAUGCCUUUUCUCUUGGCUGUCUGAGCAG
ensembl:snoRNA small nucleolar RNA, C/D box 53B